GACUAGGAUUCUCUCAUGCUUAACAUGCAUCUUACUGGUUCUUUAUGAAGAGCUUUCUCUUGGCUCACAGGCAGAAGGAAUUUUCCUUGUCUUGGAUGAGACUUUUGACUUGGACUUUUGGGUUAAGGAUUUACAGAAAGCGUGGUGCUGGCAUCUGAUCAGCUUCUGGGGUGGCCUCAGGAAGCUUACAAUCAUGGUGGCAUUUGAAGUGGAAGCGAGAGAGAGAAGAGGAGAUGCAACACACUUUUAAACAAGAUUUCAGGAGAACUCAUUCACUAUGUUCUGGAGACCAGAAGGCCAAAAUCAAAAGUAUGGGCAGGCUUGAUUUCUUUAGAAGACUCCAGCGGAGAACUGUGUCUCCUUGCUUCUGAUUCUACAUCUCCAUCCAUGGGCCACUGUUUCAGCAACCUCAGCCAGUGCAACACAACCUCAGCCAAGAAGAGUAUGCAGAGAAAGGAGUCCCCUACCUGCCACAAAACUGUUGUCUGAAAACUGUCUCAUAUUGUCUCAAGUUGUCAUUCAUUGUGAAUUAGACCUGUUUAACAUGUAA
rnacentral:lncRNA from 1 species